rfam:Stegodyphus mimosarum contig98460, whole genome shotgun sequence.
GCCUUCGUGGUGUAAUGGUCAGCACACUGAGCCGGUAUUUCAGAGGUCCGGGGUUCGAUCCCCGGCGAAGGCA